GGUUUAAGCCAUGUCCUUAUGGUCAGCGCUGAUGGAGGAGCAGCAGGCAGAGGAGCAGAGUGAGUUACAUUUAGAAGCAUGCCCAGGGAAUGUCAUGCAAGAGGAGAUGAACUCAAAGGUAGUCUUUGCAUAAACAGAAGAGCUCCAUGAGACUGCCUUUUCUUCAGAGACCCACAGCACAGCUACUUCCUCAAGAGAAAGAAGCCCAGUGUUUCCUGUGUCAGACCCAUCGCACGGCAAUUUCAUGAAAUACUCUAUGACAAAUGGAAAGCUCUCUGUCAACAAAUUUUGAAUAUGAUGUACAUGCUGUUCUGGGCUAUGGGAAACAUUAGAAUAUCUGAACUUCUUGGCUCUGAAGUCAAGAAAUUACUAACUCCUUUUUUUUUUUUUUUUUUUUUUUUGGAGGGGGAUCCAACCCAGGGCCUCGUGUAUGCUAGACAAGCACUCUACCACUGAGCCACAUCCCCUACCCCCUUUCUUUUAACUCCUGAAUUAUUGAACUUCUAUAUUAGUUUCCUAGGACUACUUUAACAAAUUGCCACCAACUGGGUGGUUUAAACUAAAUGAAUUGAUUGACAGUUUUGGAGACCCUAAGUCCAAAAUCAAAGUAUUGGCAGUUUUGGCUCCUCCUGAGGAUGUGAGGAAAAGGUCAGUUCUGGGCCUCCCUCCUUAACCUGUCAAGGGUUGGCUCCGUGUUCACAUGAGCUUGCCUUGAACAACUGUCUCCAAAUUUCACCUUUCUUAAAAAGACACGAAUGCAGAAUUAGAAACUCACUCUAAUGAUCUCAUUUUGAUUACCUCUAUAAACACCCAAUCCUCAAGGUAAAAAAGAACAUCCAUGUUAGGGGAUAAGGGGACAUUUCAACCCAUUAGGCCACAGAGCCCUUUUCUCAAUAUGCCACCUAUUAGCCUACAUUUUAUACUCUGGGAAAUGUGACUGCAGCUUCAUAAGUACCAUGCUCUGCCUAAGUGGUUCACAAAUGCUAUUUACAAUAUAUACACAGCAUCACUGGGUUAUACUGUUAGCCCCCACCCCCUAGUCAAAUCUGCUCUUAGGGAUCAACUUAAGAGCUUACUACUUUAAAACCUGCCCAGAAGAUUCUGAUGCAUCACCAGGUUGGAGUUUCAGAAGUCAGUUUGUUCUUCUUUCUUAUUUUAUUUUUAUUCGACUUGGGUCAGAAAUCUUAGACAAGCUGCCUAAGAAGUGUUCCCCUUCUUUAAAGAGUGUGAACAUAGAAUGAUUUCCUCAUCUCUGCUUUUAUCCCUUCUCUCUUUCUCCACUGUAAUGCAAACUGCUUGAUGUGCAUAGAGACCUGUCUUAUUUGUCUCUUUGUUCUCAGUGUACCAGAGUCAGCACAUGAUAAAUAUAUUCAAUAAGUAUUUAUUGAAUAAGUGCCUGCAGAAAUGCACGUCAACAUGUACAACUAUGUUACUAUUUAAAAAAAAAAAAGCUCUUGAUGUUAACCAGAACUUUAUUUCCUUAACCUUGGGAUUUUAAGACAUGACCCAUGGAGCAGUCCCUCCUUCCUUCUACUCCAGUUCUAAUGGCUUACUUUUGUCUUCAGAAUACAUCUUACUCACUCCAACCUCAAGGAUGAUGAUGUUGUUGAUGAUGAUGAUGAUGAUGAUUUUGUACAUGCUACUUUGAAAUUCUUCUCUAUGCCCUCUUUCCCCUCCCCACCUCCCAAUUGCCACCACUAUUUCCAAAUGAAUAUUUAGACUGUCCUUUACAUUUGAAGUAAUGCUUCUGUUAAACAUCUCCAUGAUGUACUUUGUUUUCCCAUUGGAGACCUUGGCCAUACUGGUAAUAACGGGUUCAACACCUGCUCUCCCUGCCAGACUGCAAGCUCCAUGGGGCAGGCUCCUUGUCCACUGUGUACAUUUUUGAAACUGCAGAGACCUGCACAUGGCAGGAAGUCAAAUAUUGAGUGGUUAUCUACUUUUACCGUGGUUGUGGGUGUUUUUCCUCCGCCAUUAAACUGGGAGCGCCUCUGGAGCAUGAAGUAGAUUUAAUUCACUUGUCUAUUUUUGCUACCUGGCACAUUGCCUGGAAGACAGAAUGUAUUUAAUAAAUUUUCUUAAAAUGUGUAA